GCCUGGCUGGCUCAGUCGGUAGAGCAUGUGACUCUCGAUCUUGGGAUCAUGAGUUCGAAUCCCAUGUUGGGCA